UACGGGGGGCAAGCGUUGUUCGGAAUUACUGGGCGUAAAGGGCUCGUAGGCGGCCAACUAAGUCAGACGUGAAAUCCCUCGGCUUAACCGGGGAACUGCGUCUGAUACUGGAUGGCUAGAGUUUGGGAGAGGGAUGCGGAAUUCCAGGUGUAGCGGUGAAAUGCGUAGAUAUCUGGAGGAACACCGGUGGCGAAGGCGGCAUCCUGGACCGAUACUGACGCUGAGGAGCGAAAGCCAGGGGAGCCAAAGCGGG
rnacentral:rRNA from 1 species